CCCCCGGCGGCACGGGUCCUGCUCCUGCUCCUGCUCCUGCUCCUGCUCCUCCAUCGCCGGAGCUCCUCUGCCUUCUUAACUCUCUUCCGCGACCGCCACCGCAAGCCCCCAGGAGUCAGAUCUCCGCCUACGCUCCCCGGCCACGGGCUCCAGCCUAACCCCGCGGCUUCACGCGCCCUUCAGGUCCUGUGUGUGACCCCGAGAUCAAGCUCUCCGGCCCGACAGCGCUCGGCCCAGCCAGCUCCUCCCUGACAUCACCUGGCUCUGUCCCUGCAACGUCAAAGGCAGGCAGUUUUCACAAAGAAGCAGACUCUGUCACCAGCACAGAUAUAUGAGAACACCUCGGGCGGUGCCACAAAUCCAAGAAAAUUAAAUCUUGUUUGGCUCGGGAGUAGCCCAUGCCUUGAGUCAAGGGUUGGUCUGAAAAGGUCUAGAUCGAAUUUUUAGAACCAUCACCUCAAUGACUUGAAGGUCUUUGACAGAGAUGAUUUUUAAAUAGGACUCAGAUCAAAAUUCAUUCCAUACGGAAGACAAGUACCGGAAAUAUGUCGAUAACUCUGGGCAAAAUAUGAAAUGUGACAAUUAUUCCACAUACUAAGUCUGACAAGCCACCAGUGAUA